rnacentral:rRNA from 1 species
ACGCUGGCGGCAGGCCUAACACAUGCAAGUCGAGCGGUAGAGAGAAGCUUGCUUCUCUUGAGAGCGGCGGACGGGUGAGUAAUGCCUAGGAAUCUGCCUGGUAGUGGGGGAUAACGUUCGGAAACGGACGCUAAUACCGCAUACGUCCUACGGGAGAAAGCAGGGGACCUUCGGGCCUUGCGCUAUCAGAUGAGCCUAGGUCGGAUUAGCUAGUUGGUGGGGUAAUGGCUCACCAAGGCGACGAUCCGUAACUGGUCUGAGAGGAUGAUCAGUCACACUGGAACUGAGACACGGUCCAGACUCCUACGGGAGGCAGCAGUGGGGAAUAUUGGACAAUGGGCGAAAGCCUGAUCCAGCCAUGCCGCGUGUGUGAAGAAGGUCUUCGGAUUGUAAAGCACUUUAAGUUGGGAGGAAGGGUUGUAGAUUAAUACUCUGCAAUUUUGACGUUACCGACAGAAUAAGCACCGGCUAACUCUGUGCCAGCAGCCGCGGUAAUACAGAGGGUGCAAGCGUUAAUCGGAAUUACUGGGCGUAAAGCGCGCGUAGGUGGUUUGUUAAGUUGGAUGUGAAAUCCCCGGGCUCAACCUGGGAACUGCAUUCAAACUGACUGACUAGAGUAUGGUAGAGGGUGGUGGAAUUUCCUGUGUAGCGGUGAA